UACGUAGGGGGCUAGCGUUGUCCGGAAUCAUUGGGCGUAAAGCGCGCGUAGGCGGCCCGGUAAGUCCGCUGUAAAAGUCAAAGGCUCAACCUUUGAAUGUCAGUGGAUACUGCCGGGCUAGAGUCCGGAAGAGGCGAGUGGAACUCCUGGUGUAGCGGUGGAAUGCGCAGAUAUCAGGAAGAACACCGACGGCGAAGGCAGCUCGCUGGGACGGUACUGACGCUGAGGCGCGAAAGCCAGGGGAGCAAACGGG
rnacentral:rRNA from 1 species